rnacentral:rRNA from 1 species
GAGACACGGUCCAGACUCCUACGGGAGGCAGCAGUGGGGAAUAUUGCACAAUGGGCGCAAGCCUGAUGCAGCAACGCCGCGUGAGGGACGAAGGCCUUCGGGUUGUAAACCUCUUUUAGCAGGGAAGAAGCGAAAGUGACGGUACCUGCAGAAAAAGCGCCGGCUAACUACGUGCCAGCAGCCGCGGUAAUACGUAGGGCGCAAGCGUUGUCCGGAAUUAUUGGGCGUAAAGAGCUCGUAGGCGGUUUGUCGCGUCUGCUGUGAAAAUCCGAGGCUCAACCUCGGACCUGCAGUGGGUACGGGCAAACUAGAGUGCGGUAGGGGAGAUUGGAAUUCCUGGUGUAGCGGUGGAAUGCGCAGAUAUCAGGAGGAACACCAAUGGCGAAGGCAGAUCUCUGGGCCGUAACUGACGCUGAGGAGCGAAAGCGUGGGGAGCGAACAGGAUUAGAUACCCUGGUAGUCCACGCCGUAAACGGUGGGAACUAGAUGUAGGGACCGUUCCACGGUUUCUGUGUCGCAGCUAACGCAUUAAGUUCCCCGCCUGGGGAGUACGGCCGCAAGGCUAAAACUCAAAGGAAUUGACGGGGGCCCGCACAAGCGGCGGAGCAUGCGGAUUAAUUCGACGCAACGCGAAGAACCUUACCAAGGCUUGACAUAUAGAGGAAAAGUGUAGAAAUACACUCCCCGCAAGGUCUCUAUACAGGUGGUGCAUGGUUGUCGUCAGCUCGUGUCGUGAGAUGUUGGGUUAAGUCCCGCAACGAGCGCAACCC